AUGAAUUCAUUCCAGAGUUGAGAGCUUCCCUUGAAUCAAAGGUUAGUUUCCUUGUGUGUUCUCUACUACAUAGCAUGAUUUCUUUGCUUAAUUUCCAAUUAAGUUAUGUGUGGACUCAUUCAUAUAUAGGUGAAAAGAUGAAACUGGUCAUCACCUCACUCGUAAUACUGGUUCUGAUGGUGUCAGUCACGACGGCAAGAGAUCGCUACAAAGAAGGCAUGAACCACCAGGUGAGCAAACUCACUGAGAUGAACACAAAACGCUCAGGUGACAAGGAUAAGACGGUGACCUAUGAACUGAACGAGAACGCUAAAGGUGAGAAGAACUAUAACGUUGACGACCAAAAUCUUUGUCAUUGGCAAGAUGCCUUGCAAGGGAAGUGCCCAUGACUUCCCUACACAAAGAAGGAAGCAGAUACGUAUCCUGCACGCCCUUCAACUUCGUGACGCAUGAAGCUCUAUGAUAUAUACCUAUGUAGAAGCAAAUAAUAUGGAUACGGUGUAGCUUCCUUCGAACCUCUUACUACGUGAAAACUAGUGCUCGGAUGUAAUGGUGUGUUCAGCUUAUUAAUAUAUAUUUGCAGGAUAUUAGCAAUUAGUGUGCUACCAGUGAACUCGACUCAGAAUGAUGAUGGCCAUAAGAAAGCAAACAAAAAGGAAGAACUUUGGGAGGGAAUAGAUUAAAAUGAUAAUAUGUAUGGGAGAAAUAUGUGAUGAUUCUGUUUAACAAGAAAUUAAAUUCAUCUGAUAAGAAUUUCUCAUCUCCAACAACAUCACGACUUCAUUUAGAUUGUGUAGAUGGUUAAUGAUAAGCAGUACUUGGAAACGCUCUUGAUUUAGAUCAUAAUUCAAUACAG
rnacentral:lncRNA from 1 species